rnacentral:rRNA from 1 species
UACGUAGGUGGCAAGCGUUGUCCGGAUUUACUGGGCGUAAAGAGCGCGCAGGCGGUCGAUCAAGUCGAGUGUGAAAGCCCCCGGCUCAACUGGGGAGGGUCAUUCGAUACUGAUCGACUCGAAGGCAGGAGAGGGUAGUGGAAUUUCCGGUGUAGUGGUGAAAUGCGUAGAUAUCGGGAGGAACACCAGUGGCGAAGGCGACUACCUGGCCUGUUCUUGACGCUGAGGCGCGAAAGCUAGGGGAGCAAACGGG